GCCCGCCCGUCCGCCCCGCCCCGGUCGGCCCCACCCCUCCUCCUCGUGCGCCCGCCCGCCCCAAACUCUGGCAAACAAAACGCACCAUUCACAACUCUGCGACCGGAGCCGCGCAUGCGCCGCCCACCCGCUUGCGGGGCGGCUGGACUGCAGCGAGCCAGAGGUGCGGCCCUCUCACCCUUGCGGGCCCGCGGUUUCCUCUGUGUAGAACUGCUCUGCGGACAUCUGCCCGGACCUUGGAGAGAGGGAGCCGCUCGCGCGGUUCCUUUCUGUCGACUGUAUGAAACUUUGGGGCUUCUCAGCUGCUUGGAGUGACCCCAGAUUGUCACCUGAACCAAACUAAACUGAACCAAAAAAAACCUAUGGGACAGGCUGCGGUAUGCCCAGGUCGAGUUGCAGGAGAGGCCAGAGUGAGGAGUCUGGAUGUAGCACCAAGACCUACACCAAUGGACGAGCGAGGAUGGAGUAUGGAUAUCCUGAGGUCCCUUCUGAGAUAAUGAAGAAAAAAGCCAGGUCCUUAAUGCUGGUAUAGUCUCAUCCAAAAGGCCAUCUUCUCCUCCUUGAGCUUCACACCCACCCUCGUGAUGAAAUCCAACUGCAGCUCUCACUGCUCCGGGACUGCAGGAUGUACCCAAGCACUUGGACAUUCCCAGAAGAGCCAAUGGGAUCUGAUCUCAUGCACAGUACUACCCAAGAGGAAUCCUCUGCUACUCCCGCUGGGGUGGGCACCCCUCCUAUUGACUUACAAAAGGAAACCCAGGAUGCCGAGCCUGUGCUGCAGAAGGACGAGCACCACUUUCUCGCGAGAGGCCAGCUGCGUGCCAUCGUACGUGGAAGCGGAGCCCACGAGGAAGGCACCUCCUGGGAACCAGACCAUCACCUGGACAUGGAAAGCGGAGGCCUGAGCUGGGCGGUGGGGUGCCUGAGUGGGAUGGUGCGUGGAAGAGGAUGAAUACUCACCGGCAACGGAGCAUCCCCACGCGCGCGCACUGGAGCGUACACGUUCAGGUACAGACAGUCCUCACUGAAGCGCAGCCACUUGUACUGUUUCCGCGUGUUGAAGUACAUGGAGGUGAUCUGUCCCCAGGACUCCUGAAGGCACCUGCGGUCACGAUGUGAGUUUGGGCCCAACGUGGUGGCCAAAAACGGGAGAAUGGUUGCAAACCCAGGUUCCGCAAUUGAGGAAAUAGAACCAAAAGCAAAAUUUAGGAUGCGCGCGCGUGCGUGUGUGUAUCUGUGUCCGAAUAGCCUCCACUAGCAUUAGGGUCCAGGGUGAGUGCAGCGCCAGGUCAGACCCAGGGCAAGAUCCACCCCUCUGUCUUGCCCCCGGUCCCAGGAAUCUGCCUGGGGAGAGGUUCCAUGCUUCUGUUGGAGACCCUUUUGGUGCUGUCAAGCCAGAAACCUGGGUGUCCUGGGAUUUCAUGCCCCCGUCCUUCAGGCUCUUUUCUGUCUCCCAAACAGCUCUUAAAUAGGCCUUCUCCAUCCCAGAGAUGCUGCCUUGUAAAGGCCAUUACCUACACUGGCCAGGACACUGCCCCAGCCUCUUUGACAUCGCUUCCAACUCAUCCUCCACACCCUGACCGGAGGGAUUGACAGAAAACAAAAACCUAUUUCACUUCCCUCCUUAAAACCUUCCUGGGCCCCCCUGCGCUCAGGAUAAGGUCCAGAUUCACCCAUACUGACGCAGGCCCUCUCCAUCUAGUCUUCCUGGCACUCUUUGCUCUAGAUGCCCACGGACCCUGCCUUGUCUCCCAUCUCUAAGCCCUUUUGCUUAUGUCCCUUUCUGCCUAAUGUUUUCUCUGCCUGGCAAACUCCUGCUUAUGUUUAAGGCUCAGCUAAAGUGGCGCCCCCUCUGCUGGGCACUUCCUGUCUGUGCUUCCCAAAGUUCUAUCCACGCUGAUUAUAGUGCUGGGUUAGAGUUGUUUCGAUUGGUUUGGUUGUUAUUCUCCCCAAGCAACCAUGCACUCCCUAGGGGCAGGGAUGGAUGUGGAUUUGUCUGAGUCCUGGCACUCAGCCCAGUGCCUUGUACCAUGUGAACAUUUGGUGUACUUGUGGAGCUUGGGCUGUUGGGCCACCUCAUCCUUUCUCCCUGCUGUCCCAGCCUGGAGUGUGGCUAUUGCCAAUAGUUGGGGCUGGGCCCAUCUGACUGGCUGCAGGAAAGCCUGUCUAUUCUACUCCUUUCUCCACUUGUUCCCUUGCUGCUCUGGCCUGAAGCUAGUCAUUAUCCAAACUGGCCACUAGUCUUCUUGUCUCCUUAACUACCAUCCCACAGUCUGUUGUAAGCCAUCCACAAAUUCUUCUACCUGUCACUCUGUGUUCCAAACAGCUAUUGUCUGACAGCUCAUGGCCAACGUUCCAACAAUUGACACCUGGACUUCUAUGCAAUGGGCACCCCAAUCUCUAAACCCCUGAUCCUCGGGGCUCUAAUAAUGGUCAUCCCCUGUUCUGUCACCUGUUCCAUGGGAUUCCACAUAACAAUCACAGAAGGUUCAGAUGUCUUGGUUUCUCUCACUGGUGGUCAGUGUUCUAAAAACUAACACCCCAGUGUUCUACUAAUAGCCAUUCAUGUUCUAACAGUGGAUGCCCUGUUCUCAACAGUUAGACACCCUGGGUGGUGGUUAUAGUUUUUAGAUAUCAACUGACACCCAGGUUCUCACAGUAGACAUUUUUCUAAACCCAGUGCUGUAUCCAACUAAUUGUUAAUGAUUGCCACAGAAUAUUCUGCUCAGUGGGUUACUCAAUGAUCUGAAUAAAUAAUAAAUACACUUGUUCUGGGUAAA